GUGGGGGAGUGCUAAACGAAUGGAAUUUGAUAGGGAUGCAAAGAUUCUUGGAAGGAACUUUUUAAUUGAUCUGUUAAGUUACGAGGAUAAUUCAUGCCGCUAUGCCAUCCCUGCUAACAUACAACAAAGACUUAUCAAUAUCGCUAAAAAGGAUUAGAUUAAUGUACGGUUGUCGACAUAUUUGCCUAUUAUUAAAAAUUGUAAGACAUCACAUUUUUUAAUUGAGGUUGCAUCAAUAAAUAGGUUGAUGUAGACCAAUAUGGUUUGUGUGUGGUUUACAUGUUUUAAAUAUAAAUAUAUGUGGGCAGCUAACACAUCUAAAUGUCAAACAAAUCCCUUUUGAUCUUUGAGCUUACAAGUUUCUUCGAUAAAAAAGUAAUUUGAUUACCAAGCAACUACUAACUUUAUGUAUGCCAGACCUCUGAACUGAAUGUUGUUUAAAUCUUUUGUGUGCAUUGAGAUAUUAAGUUUAUACAAUUUGUAUGCCUAUAUUCUACUAUACCAGAUUACAUGUUCAUGUCAUACAUUUUAGGACCUGGCAAUCUAUUUUCACUUGUAUUGCUCUUCUUAUUUAUAGGCACAUGUUGUUUCAGCGAUUUUGAAUUUUAGUGAGAAUUGUACACCAGAAUUUUUGACGCCUUAACUGGAUGAAAUCAAUGGCAAGCAAAUGGUGCACGGGAGAGCAUUGACAGCUCUAGCGUCAGUAGAAGAUUCAUCACAGG